UUUUUUAUUUUUCAACACUUCUCAAAAAAGAAAAAAAAACAAAGGGAAAACCUCUCAAACUCUCUCCCCCUUUCAGCAUCCGGCCAAGGUCCGAUCAUCGGCCUGACGUCGUUCGCCGAAAAUGAAAAGGUGCAAGUGGAUGGUGGCCACAGUGGCGGUGGCAGAAGGUGGUUGAAGGUAGAAGGCCCUUGGUGCGGCGCACCUAGGGUUUGAAAUUUCUGAUUUUUUUCUUUUCUUUCUUUUUUUGUGUUGUUUUUAGGUGUUGUUGGGUUUGGUUGAUUGGGCUUUUAGUUUGGGAUGGGUUUGUUUUACGAGCCCAAACAAAAUGGGCUAGUACAAAUAUUAUAAUGAUAAUACUUUUGUUUAUCUA